rnacentral:RNase_P_RNA from 1 species
GAAGCUGACCAGACAGUCGCCGCUUCGUCGUCGUCCUCUUCGGGGGAGACGGGCGGAGGGGAGGAAAGUCCGGCGCGCGGCUGGUAACAGUCCGUGGCACGGUAAACUCCACCCGGAGCAAGGCCAAAUAGGGGUUCAUAAGGUACGGCCCGUACUGAACCCGGGUAGGCUGCUUGAGCCAGUGAGCGAUUGCUGGCCUAGAUGAAUGACUGUCCACGACAGAACCCGGCUUAUCGGUCAGUUUCACCU